rnacentral:piRNA from 1 species
UGGGUGUCUUCCAAGCAUUUUAUGGAA